rnacentral:rRNA from 1 species
CCAGCAGUUCGGCUGGGCACUCUAAAGGGACUGCCGGUGUUAAACCGGAGGAAGGUGGGGGAUGACGUCAAGUCCUCAUGGCCUUUAUGACCAGGGCUACACACGUACUACAAUGGCCGAUACAAAGGGCAGCGACACUGCGAGGUGAAGCCAAUCCCGUAAAAUCGGUCUCAGUCCGGAUUGGAGUCUGCAACUCGACUCCAUGAGGUUGGAAUCGCUAGUAAUCGUGGAUCAGCAUGCCACGGUGAAUACGUUCCCGGGCCUU